AGAGUACGGAGCAGGUUGGAAGAUCAAAGGAAUUGCAGGAGUUCGGGCACAAGCGGUGGAACAUGUGGUUUAAUUCGAUGCAAGCGCGAAGAGCCUUAUCCUCCCCUUGGCAUAGCAGGAAUCGUGCAGAGAUGCGGGAGUGCCUUCGGGAGCCUGGACACAGGUGCUGCAUGUCUGUCGUCAGCUCGUGUCGUGAGAUGUUGGGUUAAGUCCCGCAACGAGCGCAACCCUUGUCUCUAGUUACUAACAGUUCGGCUGAGCACUCUAGAGAGACUACCGGUGAUAACCCGGAGGAAGGUGGGGAUGACGUCAAGUCAUCAUGGCCCUUAUGGGCAGGGCUACACACGUGCUACAAUGGGCGGUACAAAGGGUUGCCAACCCGCGAGGGGGAGCCAAUCCCAUAAAGCCGUUCGUAGUCCGGAUCGCAGUCUGCAACUCGACUGCGUGAAGUCGGAAUCGCUAGUAAUCGCAGAUCAGCAUUGCUGCGGUGAAUACGUUCCCGGGCCUUGUACACACCGCCCGUCACACCAUGGGAGUCGGUUGCACCAGAAGUAGGUAGUCUAACCGCAAGGAGGGCGCUACCCCCG
rnacentral:rRNA from 1 species